rnacentral:rRNA from 1 species
AUGACCAUGAGCAUGGCAACCGGCGCUAUGGGCUCCUUGCUGCCCAAGCUGGUCGAGCUCCUCAAGGAAGAGUACAAGCUGAAGGAGAGCGUCAAGGAAGGCGUCAGAUCUCUUGAGAAAGAGAUGAAGAGCAUGCAAGCUGCGCUCAACAAGGUGGGCGAGGUGCCGCGGGACCAGCUCGACGAGCAGGUCAAGAUCUGGGCAGGGGAGGUGAGGGAGCUCUCCUUCAACAUGGAGGACGUCGUCGACAAGUUUUUGGUGCGUGUCGAUGAUGGCUCCAAGCCUGCCGCCAACCCGAAGAAACUCAAACGGUUCGCCAAGAAGAUGGUAGGCUUGUUCACCAAGGGGAAGACUUGCCAUGAUAUUGCCAAAGCAAUCAAGGCCAUCAAUAAGCAAGUAGAAGAGGUUGCCAACAGGCGUCAAAGGUACAAUAUUGACAAUAUUGUCGCUAGGCCUGCUGCCGUGACUCCCAUCGAUCCUCGCCUUGGGGCUCUGUACAAGGAAGUGACAGAUCUUGUUGGCAUUACCGGAACAAGGGAUCAAGAGAUAAUGAAGUUGCUCUCGGAGGGGGAUGACAUGUCCAAGAAAAAGUUGAAGAUCGUCUCUGUUGUUGGAUUUGGAGGAUUGGGCAAGACAACUCUUGUCAAAGCAGUUUAUGACAAGAUCAAGGGAGAUUUCGACUGCAGGGCUUUUGUUCCCGUCAGUCGAAAUGCUAAUGCGAAGGAGGUUUUCAUGGACAUCCUGCACGAGCUUGAUCCUGAAAAGGACAAAGGUCAGCUCACCAUGUUGAAUGAAAGACAACUCAUUGACAAAAUCCAACUACGCCUCGAGAACAAGAGGUACGUACAUAUCACACAUGCCACUCACUUAAUGAUGGUAACUAGCCAAUUCCAUUGA